rnacentral:lncRNA from 1 species
AGGGGUGGACGUGGGCUGCGGCUGGCUUGUGACCUCCCCGGGAUGUCCUUCCCCGAAGGGCUAGAGACACGAGUGGGGUCGUCGUUCAGGGACGCCCUGGGGAGCACAGAGGAGGGCCCCUCGCCCCUCCCCCGUCCCCAGUCUGNGGGGGGGGGGGGGGGGGGCGCAGCGCCUGCCGGGUCUCUCUCAACCCUAAGCGCCUUGGAUUCCGACCGGCCAAGGGCAGAGCCUCCCCGCCGCACCCCCACGGAAGGGGGAGACCUCGGGUCUCUGCCAGAUCCCCCCCGCAAGCCCUGAGCCCCGGGCGCUCGCGGCAGUGCGCAGGCGCCGCCGCGAAGGCUGGCCCGAGAACUUUCCUCCCUGUGCGGGCACCUCUCCACGCGGGCAGGUGGCAGCCGCGCCGCUCCGGUCGCCGACGCUCCUCAGGGCCCCGCGGAGCCCCCUUGGCAGGACCACGCGGGCUGUGGUAUCCCCGGUGACCAAGGCCAUCUUCGUGGCUCUGUUCCUCUUGGCUGUGCUGCUCAUCCUCUACGUGAUCCUGUGGUACAUUUGCGGGACAACGACUACAUCUGAAGCAGAUUCCGAAGCAGAAGGAAGCCUCCCAGGGACGCGUGGGAGCCCUGCUCCCCCCUCCCCUCGCGAGGCGCUCAGGCAGGACUCACAAAGGGAUGCCUGCGAACCGGCUCCUCCAGCAGCCUGUCACCUCCCAGGAAACGGAGUCACAGCUGAUUGGCUACCUCCGAUGUGCCAGGCGGUGUGGCGGCCCUUGACACGAUUCAGGAAUGAAACCCCAUGUUUGCCGGGGUUGAUUUGGGAGCCGAAGCCUGCAGCCGACACUUCACUGCCACCUUGGCAACUCUAGGUAAGGCACUAAGUCUGUAAAUAAUUUUGGGUUUGUUUUUUCCUUUUUUGGCUGCCCUGCACGUUUGGAGUUCCCAGGUCAGGGAU